rnacentral:rRNA from 1 species
UACGUAGGGUGCAAGCGUUGUCCGGCAUUAUUGGGCGUAAAGCGCUCGUAGGCGGCUUGUCGCGUCUGCUGUGAAAACUCGGGGCUUAACCCCGGGCCUGCAGUGGGUACGGGCAGACUAGAGUGCGGUAGGGGAGACUGGAAUUCCUGGUGUAGCGGUGAAAUGCGCAGAUAUCAGGAGGAACACCGGUGGCGAAGGCGGGUCUCUGGACAGGUCCUGACGCUGAGGCACGAAGGCCAGGGGAGCAAACGGG